AGUUCUUGUUGUUACAGGUUAACUUAAAAUUAACAGAACAGCUUUUGGAUUCCUCUCCAUACUGGAAGUUGUUCUAAAGAUCAGCCCUUCGGCAGGGUAAAGUAAAGUUUUGUAUGGAGAUGCUUCAUUCUACCCUUCUUAUGGCAUUCAUGGCUGAUACACAAUCCUCCCAUAUUCGAGGACAUUGAUACCGUUUCUGAUAAGUUCUUUGAUCACCCAACUUAUAUUGCUCUUCUCUUAUUGUCUUGUGGAAAUGUUUUUUGUUUUUCCCUUUUCAUAGUUUGGCUUCCUUUGUAGUUUAUAAAGAGUCUUUGAAUGCCACUUCCAUUGCCUAAAAUGUUUCUUAGUUCUCACUGUUGGAGGCUUCUUUCUGUAUAUGAUUUCGUUGUUUUAUCUGGAAAGUCUUUGAAUGCCUUUUGAAAUUAUGCCAUCUCUGGAUGUCAGAACAUGGGACCAUAUUUCUUUGUUCAACUCUGAUAAUCCAUAAAUGUUCACUGACUGAACAGAAGACAGGAAAGACCAGUUUGUUCUUGGUGGAGUUCUGUUUGUUUCCCUUUCUUUAUUACCUUGUGCAAUUUCUAGUCUACUAGUUUGCAUCCCUCUAUGUCUCUGUUUUAGAGUUUGUGCAGAAAUGGAGCAAUUUACUUUUGUUUAGAUAUCUGUUUUUUCGUCCAAUUGUGUUUCUGCUAAACAUAGCCUGAUUUCUUUUCUUUAGUUUCAAUUUUGAACUUUUGAGAAUGUCUUUGAGACUAUUGAAGAACAUCAAGUGCAUUAAGAACAAUAUUUGCCUCCUUAGGUCCUCAAGUUGUAUCUUUUUAAGGAGUUUCUGGUUUCUUUUUACUUUUUGGAGGAUGAGAAUAAAGAUCUUGAUGAGAACAUGUGGUUUCUUCUGCUAAAUCACUAAAACUCAACUUGUUAAAGCUCAUUUCAUCGAAAAGAGUUGAAUUUGAAACUCUCCUCCGACAUAUUGGUUGACUUUUUUUACAAUAGUUGUAGGCGAUUCACAUGCCUGACCACCCGGGAAGAUAUUUAAUAGGUCAAAUUUCGAAAUCAAGCUAUUAAUUCAUCAAAACUCUUAACAAUUCAAGCAUAACUUAUUGAAUAAGACAUCAGUUAUCAUUACAAAAGUUGAUGGUUCGAUCUCUCACUGCUACCAUUGCUAACCAAACAAAAACCAACGGGAAUGAAUCGUUUUAACAUUUAAGAGUAUGCACAAAACCUAAAGAUUUAUAGUAAAAUAGUUGGACUUUGAAAUCUUCGAGAAGAAGGCAGCUUUUUUACAGCAUAUAAAGAUCUGAGUUAUGAGGAGAAACAAACCGGAGUCGGAGAUAUAAGAAAAGAGACAAACACCCACAUGGCUAUAAAGAAAGCAAUAAGAUAACAAAAAUAUUUAUAAAAAAAAAAAAAAGGAAAGAGAAAAAAAAAACAUUCUUCCCUUCUCCUUCAGUUCUGAUAUUUCCUUUUUCCUUUUUCCUUUUUCUUUUUGUUACCUUCGCUUCCUUCCAUGCACUGAUAUUCCUUCUUCUCUUAUCAGCAAGCUUUUCAGACCACAGUACUAAGAACAGUCUUUGUCAACUCAAAAAAAUUCUCAUCCUCUUUAUAAGACAAAGCAAAAGAAAACUAAAGCAAUUUGGAUUUUUGUCUUUCCAUUUUUUUACCUCAAAAAAACUUUGACUCUUCCUCUGUAUCAAUGUCCUGCAGAUUAUAGAAGAUGAACUCGAUCAAUCAAUGGAAGUUUUUGAACCAAAAAUGGCAGAAAUUGGCAUCAAACUCAUGUUCUUGAUGCAUACCAUCAUGUUUCUUCUUCAAACCUCUGAUGAAAAGCAAGCAAAUUACCAGAAAUCCCACACCUGCUGCCCCUCCUAAUAUCACUGCCACUGUCUUCCCUGUGUUUUGCCCCAUCCCUGACACCAAAUUAAGCCUUUCAUAUCAAUAUACUUUCAGAAAUCAAGAACACUAGCUCCUUCAUUAGCUCUAUGAGUUGCAAAAACAUGUGUUUUGGUUUGAAUUUGAUGCAUUUCAGAUCUAACCCAGGUGCCAAAAUGUGCAUGGCUGUGUCAGUGUGUGAGAUAAACUGUUAUUCACUGAAAGUUUGAGGGUUUUACCUGAUGGAGAUGAAGAAUAUGAUGAUGAAGAAGAAGAAGAUGAUGAAGAUCUCCUUGGAACUCCAUUUGGGAAACUCAUACAGCAAAUAGCAGCCUGAGAGAUGAACUCUACCUGCAAUGGUUUUGCCGCAGAGACUAUCGGCUAAUUCAGGGAGUUUGCU